rnacentral:rRNA from 1 species
CAAGUCGAACGAGAACCUUUGGGCAACUGAAGGGGAAAGUGGCGAAAGGGGCAGUAAUGUAUGGGUAACUUACCCCGGGGACGGGGAUAGCCUUCCUAACGGAAGAGUAAUACCUGGCGAUCUGGCGAGGACGCAUGUUCUUGCCAGGAAAUGAAUUUCGCCUCGGGAGGGGCUCAUAUAGUAUUAGCUUGUUGGUGGGGUAACGGCCUACCAAGGCUCAGAUGCUUAGCGGGUGUGAGAGCACGACCCGCGCCACUGGCACUGAGACACUGGCCAGACUCCUACGGGAGGCUGCAGUCGAGGAUCUUCGGCAAUGGGCGCAAGCCUGACCGAGCGACGCCGCGUGUGCGAUGAAGGCCUUCGGGUUGUAAAGCACUGUCGAGGGGGAGGAAAGCCGCAAGGCUUGACCUAUCCCUGGAGGAAGCACGGGCUAAGUUCGUGCCAGCAGCCGCGGUAAGACGAACCGUGCGAACGUUGUUCGGAAUCACUGGGCUUAAAGGGCGCGUAGGCGGUUGAUCAAGUCUGGGGUGAAAUCUUUCGGCUUAACCGGAAAAGUGCCUUGGAUACUGGUCAGCUGGAGGGAGGUAGGGGCAGUUGGAACUUCCAGUGGAGCGGUGAAAUGCGUUGAUAUUGGAAGGAACGCCGGUGGCGAAAGCGAGCUGCUGGACCUCUUCUGACGCUGAUGCGCGAAAGCUAGGGGAGCAAACGGGAUUAGAUACCCCGGUAGUCCUAGCCCUAAACGUUGGGUACUAGGUAGUGGACUUAACAUGGGUUCACUGCCGAAGCAAAAGUGUUAAGUACCCCGCCUGGGGAGUAUGGUCGCAAGGCUGAAACUCAAAGGAAUUGACGGGGGCUC